GACGAAGAACGUAGCGAAAUGCGAUAAGUAAUGUGAAUUGCAGAAUUCAGUGAAUCAUCGAAUCUUUGAACGCACAUUGCGCCCGCCAGCACUCUGGCGGGCAUGCCUGUCCGAGCGUCAUUUCAACCCUCAGGCCCCCCGGGGACUGGUGUUGGGGAUCGGCCCGCCCUGGCGCGGCGCCGUCCCCGAAAUACAGUGGCGGUCUCGCUGCAGCCUCCCCUGCGUAGUAGCACACCUCGCAUUGGAGAGCGGCGCGGCCACGCCGUGAAACCCCAACUUCUGAUAGUUGACCUCGGAUCAGGUAGGAAUACCCGCUGAACUUAAGCAUAUCAAUAAGCGGAGGA
rnacentral:misc_RNA from 1 species